rnacentral:misc_RNA from 1 species
AAGGCCGGCCUAUUGCAAGAACAUCACAUAGCAUCGCACGGCACCCAUGUAGCGUAGGCAUGCAUGCAUGGCAGGCACACCAGGCAGUCCACAACAGAACGGUGGUCUACGUCUACGGUCUACCUGCUGGCCAUGCACGCCAGGCCCAUGAGCUGCUCGAAGCGGCGGGCGUCGCAGGGGAUCCGCAGCACGCCGGGCUGCCCGUACCCGUACUGCCGCUCGGCCAUCUCCAGCAGCCCCACCAUGCGAGGCUCGUUGAGCAGCGCCACCGGCACAAGGACAGUCUCGUCCUCGUCGCCGCCGUCGCCGUCAUCGCCACCGACGAGCCGCAUGGGCACAUACCCUCUCGGCUUCGCGCCGCCGCGGACCGGCGAGGAUCCCGCCUGCUUGCUCGCUGCCGCCGCCGCCGCCACCGCCGCCUGCUUUCUCCACAGCACCUUCGCCAUAUAUACGGUGCGCGCGCGCCUCGUCCUGCGGUUGAAGUCACCGUGCAGUUACGACGUCGUCGUACGUACCAGCAAUGGCACUGGCGCGCGGCGGCAACC